rnacentral:rRNA from 1 species
UCUACGGGUGGCAGCAGUGGGGAAUAUUGCACAAUGGGGGAAACCCUGAUGCAGCGACGCCGCGUGAGUGAAGAAGUAUCUCGGUACGUAAAGCUCUAUCAGCAGGGAAGAAAAUGACGGUACCUGACUAAGACGCCCCGGCUAACUACGUGCCAGCAGCCGCGGUAAUACGUAGGGGGCAAGCGUUAUCCGGAUUUACUGGGUGUAAAGGGAGCGUAGACGGCAGCACAAGUCUGGAGUGAAAUCCCGGGGCUUAACCCCGGAACUGCUUUGGAAACUGUGCGGCUGGAGGGCAGGAGGGGUAAGCGGAAUUCCUAGGGUAGCGGUGAAAUGCGUAGAUAUUAGGAGGAACACCGGUGGCGAAGGCGGCUUACUGGACUGUAACUGACGUUGAGGCUCGAAAGCGUGGGGAGCAAACAGGAUUAGAUACCCUUGUAGUC